UCUCUCUCUCUCUUCCUGCGACUGCAGUCCACUCCCCCCCGCGCGAGCUCACCCAAAGCCAGUCCCUCUCUGGUGCGACCUCACCCAGAACUAGUCCCCCCACCUUCCCCCCCCCUCCCCCGGCGGCGUAACCUUAGGGGACUCAGGGACAGGACUGACAGGGUUGGGAUUGAGAUUCCUAGAAUUGAAGUUUGGUAUAAGCAUUUAUCGGUGGAAGGGGAUGUGUAUGUUGGAAGCCGAGCGCUUCCCACUCUUCUUAAUGUCACCUUGAACACAAUUGAGAAAAUUAUUUGUUCAAAAUAUUAUAGUAAUGUUGAGGAUUCAGAGCUAAGUGCCAUCUUUGAGGUAAUUUAAGUUAGGAUCUGCUCCUUUUUUGUUUUUUUAAUGAUUUGAGAUAGUUUCUUUCUUUCUAUCAUCUUCUUCUUCGUUUAAAAAAAAAAAAAGUAAUCAAAGAAUUUAUUAGGAAUUGCAAAAGGCAUAGUGCAAGUACCCACAAAGUAUACUUGUUUCUUUCUUUGAUUUACAACAGCAACUUCACAAUUGAAUAAUGCUUUACAAAUAAAAUUCAAUGUUUUGAUUGAAACAUUGUCGAUUUCGUUACUGUGCCAAUUUUGUAUGGUUUCAUUGCCUGAAGCUGUUUUGUAUGAUUUCUUUUGGCAUCUACAGUUCUUAAGGUUUGAAUUGUUUUCAACAUGAGCUGCUUCAUCUACCCUGCACCUUCUCCAAUUAUGAAGUAAAAUUCAGUUUCUUCUGUCAUCAAAUAUAUUUAGCCUUUUAGCUUUUUUUUGUUUUUAGUUUCUAUGUGUUCCUAAUGAUCUAAUUAUUCAUUCGCUUCACCUAUAUCCAUGUUUCACAUCAGUUUCCUGUGAUUUUGUUGAAGUGGAAGACGCACAUCCUGCUUUUGUAAUGCAAAAGAGUUCAAUGCGUCAUUUUUAUUUUUUAUAACAUGAAGUAAACAUUCAUCUCUGGCUUAUAGCAUACAUUCUUACGAAUAAAGUACUAGCUGGGCUCUUGAUAUGCUAGAGACUUGGGUAAGGUUGUUGGGUGCAGAUAUUGAUAACUUUAAGAAUUGCUUAAGUUCUACAUUCUCCUCUUUUUCAUUUUCUUCCAUUUUUUAUUCCACACUAUAUGUUUUAAGUUGUAACUUUCAUUCUCAUGGUUCAGAGUAAUGGUUUGUUAUUAUAGUAUGUCAUGACUUCAUCAGCUCCUUACAUGAAUUUGGCUACAUCAGAGAUCAAGUACUCCUCAUUUUGCUAACCAUCAGUUACUCAUCCAAAGAACCUGAUGUGGAAGAUAGAAUUUUGUGGUUGGGGAGCAGUGGCUGCAGAAAAAUUCAAUAAAGGCGAUUUUAUAAUUGAGUAUAUUGGAGAAGAAAACAAAGGGGGAGUACCACUCUAGAGAUAUUUCAUAAACUUCCUCUGGAUAUGUAAAGUGAUAUUUUGCCAAGGCUUACAAAGUCCUAAUAUUUACAUUCUCAUAAACUUCCUCUGGAUAUGGAAAUGGUUAUUGUUGUUCAUUUCCUUUGUGUUAUUGUCAUUUCCUUCUCUUUUCUUUCUUCUCAGUAAAUAUAAGUGUUUAUGAUGCAAUUGUAUUUGGUUGACAAGAUUGUUACUUAUUUCUUAUGAGUUGAUACCUAGAGU